rnacentral:snRNA from 1 species
GUAUAUAUAUACAUACUAAAAUUGGAACGUUACAGAGAAGAUUAGCAUGGCCCCUGCGCAAAAUUCGUGAAGCGUUCCUUAUUUUU